rfam:Candidatus Levybacteria bacterium RIFCSPLOWO2_02_FTLL_36_8b rifcsplowo2_02_scaffold_2069, whole genome shotgun sequence.
GGUCUAGUGGUCCAGGAUGUUACCUUCUCAAGGUAAAUAUCAGGGGUUCGAAUCCCCU